GCCUCAGCGCCCUAACUUUGUGCCCUUUCUGUUUCCCUUUCUUUCCUCGCUCCACGCAGCGCCGCAGCCCUCAGAGCACCGCCACAGCGGGAGCCAUCCCGCGCGGAGCGGGGCUUCGGCUCCGUAUCUCGGCGAACGCGGCCGACGGGCACCGAGAGCGGCGAUCGGACCGAGAGAGGGCACGGGAUCCGCGUUCGCACCGAGCGGGGAGCGCGCAGCCCGGGCACGGCCGCGGCCCCGCGGGGCUCCGUAGGAUCCGAACGGGUCCCGGUGUCACACGCAGGAACGGGGGUGGCAGCCGCAGGUGCUGCGGGCUCACCGGGCACAAAGCCGGGACCCCGCGGGUGGGGAUGCUCCGCGGCUCCGUUACACGGCGCUGCCCGAGCGCCACGACCCGCGCCCGAGGGCCGGGAAGGGGAAAGGCGUCUGUCCCCGGUAAAAGGGUGAGAGCGCCUUCUGGUUCGCGAGUAACCCCGAGGAGAGGGGCUGAGCCCCGGGCAGGGACGGGGCGCAACGCGCGGAAAGGUCCCACAUUGCUGCUGAGGUUGGGUUUCCCGAGGAAAAACAAAAAAAAUAAAGGCUUUCCUGCCUCGAAUCUGACAAAGUAAACAGGAUUAAUUCGCCAUGUGCAAAAACAUUAAUACCGUCCUCAGCGCGGAAAUCAGAAGGGAAAGCGGUUUUCGCAGCACCCACGAUAUUAAUACACGACCGUAGCAAUGCAAAGCCACUGAUACACGCUCACACACCGCCGUGCCGCUGAUUGCUCGAGCAUUAAUGAAGAAUGCCCCGCAUUAACUAUUUGCUCUUCGAGGGAUGGAGCGGUGUAACUCACUGUUAGCACCCUUCGCCGCUUUGCUAUUUGUUUGCGAGUGGGUCGAGGCAGAGCGGGUGAAUGGAAAAAUGAACUACGGUUCAUUUUGCUAAAUCCUAUUCGAGACCCGAGCGCCUCGCGAAGAAGGGGACAUUCUCCGCUGUCCUUCUCUGAGCCCCGUCACAAUAGAAAUGCUCUGUUUAGAAGUAAGGCUCUAUUGUUUUUAUUCCAAAUAAAUAAGCGCAUCCCUCCUGCCAUUUUACUGCAGAUGUAAAUUUAUUGUAAUGAGAGGGAGUGGAAGGAUUUAUUUUGCUAAAAUAGAGUUGGGGAUAGAGGCGGUGUAAAUCUUGGGGUUUUUUAAAAAAGGAGGAAGAGAGGGAAGCUGCUUCCCUGGCAGAAAGCUGCCUCGCAGCCCUCUAAUUCUUUCUAGAUUAAAUCGCAAUAUGAAUAGAGCAUCGAACAAAUACCGAGUUUCGCUCUGAACUCAGUGGAAAGCAGUUACGUCUAACAGAAUUCAAUGAAUUCCUCUUCUCCCUCAAUGUAGUAUGUGUGUGUUUUUCUCUUCCACCACACUGAAGUUCCAUGAAUAGGGAAAGUGGCUCCUAUUGUGUGCCUCUGAACUUCCAAGUCAAUGCAAUUUUUAACCACUGGCUUGUGGUACUUUGAAAAUCACCAGGGGCUGUCAGAGUUGGGUCCUCUGAAAAAUUUACAGUGCUAAAUCAGAGCAUAUGCUGUGAGAGAGGAAAAAAAAUUGCUUAAGAUUGGAGCAAGUACAGUAUCUGGCUGCCCCCUAGUGUAAGUCUCUUAUCUGCCUAAAAUUCAACUUUAGAAGAAAAGGAUCUCUUAAAGGGAAACGACUUUUGGCUCACGUACGCAUACGAGAAUGAAACUUCUGUACAUUUUAAUCUGAUUAAUUCCUAAGGAUUUAAAAUUAAUUGGCUUGGGCACUCCUAGACCGGACUAUAAGAUUUCUGCGUCAGGGUUCCUGCCAGCCCUGUGCCGAAUAGAUCUGCGCCUUUUGCCGUAAUAAAGCAAGGAUAAAUAACUGCCAUAAAGCCUCCGCCGCGCUGCCAACCACACCUUCGGAGGGGAUGAACUACCACAAGACAGUGUGCUUGUGGGGAUCAAGCAUGCGAAGACAGAGUUGAUGGAGCUGGAGCCCUGACUUCUGCAUGGCAAUGGCUCAACACAGACUGCUCUCAUCCUGGCUGCUCUUCAACAGUGCCUUGAGCUGCACGAAGACCUAAAAACCAAGCCAACACCAAGAGCAUGACCAGGUGUUUACUCCUCUUCCAGACCAUACCUGAAACACAGUGUGAAGUUUAUCCUGUGCUUCUGCAGGUUCCUGAUGCCAAAGGUCUGACCUUACAAUGAGCAGCACACGGGGUGAGAUCGGGCACUGCGCUGAGCUUCACACACAGCUAUUUUGAUGAUAAAUGCAGAUUUGCAGAAAUCUUUGUCUUCAGGAGAGGCUCAGCCUGGCUUACUACCACACCACUGCCCUCGCUAAUGCACGUACUUCCAUCCUUGAUGCAUUGGGACCACAAUCGCUGGCCAAUUUCCAGCAAGUUCUUGUUGCCCAGACCCCGCCAACAACCAGGGAACAAGCGCAAGCCAGCAGAGAAAAUGAACGACCAGAAGUCCAAGGAUCCCAUGCCAUCCUAUGCUCUGCUGACAGGCUGUGGCCAUUUGGAGAAGCAGCUUUCAUGGAGAUAAUGAACAGAAUAUGAAUACAAUUCUGUGAUUAUUCCAAGAAUCUUUGGGAAUGAGGGAAAUUCUGUUGACUCCAGUCUCUGCUUUCUACUGGAUUAUGGAAGAUGUUUGUGCAUCAGGUUUGCUGAAGAUGGCAUGCUAAUGAAAUGGGUAAUUUUAUAAACGCAUCGGGGAAGAACAGAAUCCUAGAAUCCUUUGAAUUGGAAGAGACACUUAAAGGUCAUCUAGUCCAACUCGCCUGCAAUGAACCGGGACAUCUGCAACUCGAUCAGGGUGCCCAGUGCCCGGUGCAGCCUGACCCUGAGUGCCUCCAAAGACACGGCAUCAUUUUUCUUACACUGUCACAAGCAGGACAGGAAGCCACCACGAGUGCUUGUCAUGCCUGAUCUGCAACAUCACCUGCUGCUCUAGACCAGAGAAGGGAGCAAAGAAGAGAAAUACGUGUUUGUCAUUGAACUGAACUGAGAAGAAGGAAGACGAGAACGAUAAGAUCAUCGCCUGCAGCACUUUGUUUAUGAGAACAUCCUUCCAAUGAUAUACGCCUGCACCAGGUGAAAGUAUUGUGUCACCCCUAACAUAUUUUAAAUGCCAGGGCUGUCAUGCAAGAAGACAAUGAUGAACAAGUUUAAACAGAAUAUGGUAUUGUAGCCAUGUGCAAUGUUACCUUUUAAAGGUUUGCAUCAGUAGCAUUUCUUAACAGAACAUUUCCGAACUGUUACAUUUCCCUACAGAACCUCUUUCACACACUCAAUGAAUUUAUAUUGUAGAUGAACUAUUUAUAACAUAAUACACAUAUUAAACAUAAAUUAGGGCAUUUUCUCACGCAAGUUUUCCAGGCUAUUUCACAUGACCUCCCAGCCAUACUGUUUGAUCUUCUCUUAACUCCUUGGAUAACAAUUUAGGGACUACACUUCACUUAGCAAAUAGGUAAAUAAAGGGACAUCCACACUGUGCUCUAAAGAGAAAGAACCAGCCCCAGGUCACACUGCAGGGCCAGAGGUUUGUUUGGUUGAGCUCUGGUGUGUUCCUGUGAGCUGAAUGCCCAUUAACUAGCUGCUGGAGCUCCCAGAUUGCAUCACCUAGUUUAAUUUCACACAAAGGGACUCGCAUGCUGUGGAGCACAGAACACAGGGUCAGCUGGAGAAUUCACUUAAAAUGCACUCCUGGCCCAAAGUAAAAUACUACUAGAGAAACACCUCUUGUCACAAAGCAGGUAAGCACAGAACUAUCGGCAUGACAGUUUUCUUCCCAGAUAAAUAUCUCAAGCUUAACUGCAUGAACACCAUCACAGUGCUAUAAGGCCAUUGCACAACAUGGCUCAUUUUCCCAGACUGACAGCUCAGAGAGUCUUGGGAACGACAGCAUCCAACACAUGACACUGAAUACAGGCAUGACCACAUCCACCUCGGAUUCAGAUGAAAGAGCUUUAACCACCUAUGUCACAUGGAAUGAAGGCAACCAUGACAUCAGAGUUUUCCAUCUUUGAGGUCAGAGCCACUCUGUGAACCAUCCAAGACAGUAUUAAUUUACAGGAGAAGAAAGGCCAUUCCUGAUUGCCUAAGAAAUGCCCAAGGAGUUAGGAUUCCUUAAGCACUGAGGGAGUCCUGUGUGGGCUUGUGUAACCUGUUCAGCACCUCCCCAUUAGUUUUCUUCCCUGCAGAAUGGAGACACCUUAUUUUUUACUCAGAAGGUUAUUAGGAGGACUUUCCAAUUAAGGUUCUUUACAAAUGAAAGUGUCUUGUGGACAGCAUUUAAACACCUGACAAAAAACGGUCUCCAACUUCUUUAGGCAGAACCUCAGUUUUCAUAGGGACUGGUCAAGGUGUUCAGUUUACGUAAAGCUGCAAGAUCUUACGCUGCAUCUUUAAGACAUAGUUUACUUCUGAAUCAGUAAGUGUACCAGACAAAGCAGCCAUUAUUUAUGCAUUCCUGCAUACAUGGCAAGGUGAAAAUAAUAGAAUAAACAUCAUAUACUUCAUUAUGAUAUCGGUUUACACUUCCAGGGUACACAAAAAGAGGCCAUUUCAUCAAGCUAAUUGCCUGAAAGUAAAAGAGAGAACUUUAGCUAUUAGUCUAUUAUGGGGCUUUUUUCUUAAUCACAAAUAGGGGCCGUGUGUCCCCAGGGGGAUGUGUAUUCUAAUUUACAAUUGAACUACAGAUCAGAGCAAUCAAUCUUGUGCAGCACUUUUACAGUGUAAUUGCUGCAACAUAACAAAUAAAAAAAAGCAGCCUAAGUCGAGUUUCAGCUUGAGGUGGAGAUAUUUACCAGGCAUUGGGUCGGGGUGGGAGGGAGGCAGAGAGGCACCACAACCAUGAAUAUGCAAUGAGGGCUCAUUAGUGCCCCAGUGUUGCCAUGACGAAUGGCAUUAUCCCCAGCCUGGUGCAGCCUAAACAUGAAUUUUAUAACGACCCAUUUAUCAUGACUUGUCAUGGGGCUCUUUACUGUACUUUCUACUGGCUCUCACACCUUCCUCCAUUAUCACCUCAGAAUUCCUUUUGUUAUUUUGUCUUAUUCCAGUUUAGUUUUUGGUAAUGAUGCCCAGCUUAUAAGAGAAGAUGACUGCAAACAGCAGUGUGUUUGCGUGCCAAAGCAACUUUGGGCUUCCUCGCUGGAGACACACUGCCAAAUGUGUAGGUGGUCUUCAGUCCACUUACCAGGGGAUAAGCAUCCUCGUUGUCACAAAUAUCUGCAAUCUUGUCAAUUGACUCAGCAGAAAGGUCUUAGAUUGACCGAACAUCAAGACAACUAUCUUUCCAUUCUGGCAGAUGUGAUGGAUGAAUCUGUUUUGUUGACCUAGCCCUGUCUGAAAGUGCUCUUCCUCAGCCCAUGCCAGCAAUGUGCACAGUGUAAAAAUUCACCUCUUGCCUCUACAUUGAUAAAGGUACUGAACCAGGUAAAUAGAUAAAAACUGCAUUCUGCCUAACUCCUGUUAAACUGGAAAAAAAAUACUAGAUGCAAAACUGAAGUGACAGGAAAAGUAUUUACUUUCCAGGAGCAAGCGGUAAUAACCAACUCCAUAGGAAAACAAAAUUACCAAUAAGUAAUUAGUGUCUGGCUUGAGCUCAUUUUUGGUCAAUGCAUGUUGUCUAUUUUACUGCUGUCCCUUUGGCCUACCCAAUUCCACAUUUAAUAUACCACUGCUUAUAAAGAAAUCCCUGCGGCUCAGGAGGCUGAAUUGCCAUGCUGGGGUAGGGCCUGCUCUCCAGUAUAUAGAAGCUUUCAUUUCCCAAGUUACAAAUCUGACAUCUCAUGGCCAAAUCCAUGCCAGUUUAUUUCUGGGAAGUCUGUCCUCAUUAUUUACCCCAAAUAGUUUCACUGUCAGUAUGCCUUUUUUGCAGUAUGAAGUGGCUGGAGUAUCUGAAAGUAUCAAGCCUCUCUUUGUUGGAUUUUACACUUCUGCUAUUACAAGAAUUUGUCUUUGGGGACAGAAAAAAAUCAAGCAACUUAUUUCCAGCUAUUACUUGGAUAGGACUUCAUGUUCUUAAACAAGUUGUGAGCUCCCAUGAUCUCCGAAAACAACUCUCCCGAGGUCUCACAUCAGGAUAGUCCUACAGUCCUUUCAUUACUCUACAGGAUGUUUGAAAAUAUUAAAAGGCAUCGAGCAUCCCAGUUCAGCAAUUUAUAGACUCGAAGUCUGGUGCUGUAGCCCUCAAAGCCUCUAUUUCUUCCACAAAAUCCGCACUUUGCUAUUAUCAUCACCAAGACAGGCAUGUGUUUCACUAGAGGAGCAGUUUGUCAAAGCAACAGUCCAUUACCCAGAGAUUCAUCACAGGUUCUCACUUCAGCACACGAUAGGAGAGAGCCUGCAUGCCAGAAUGUGAGGCAGAAGGAAAGCUUCCUUGCAAUGAGGUGCAUGAGGUAUGUGGCACACUGAUUUAAGUUGGGCAUAGCUGAUUAGGGCAGCAUAAACUGAUGUGUUCAUGUCAUCCUUUUUUUUGCCUACCUAUAAGGCCAGACUGACAUACCUGACUGUGGAGCCACUAUCUGCAGCUUAUGAGAUGCAAUAAGCAGAUGGCCAUUUUAGUUGGUCUUCGUAAUUCAUAGUCCCAUACAGUGAAUUUUUUUCUGUUACUUUAUACCAAUAGCUGGGGACCCUUCAGGGAAACAUGCUCACCUUUCUCCCACUCGUCAAAAAGUGAGACGCUGAAACAAAGAUUAUUAAAGGCCAGCCAAUGCAGAUGACAUCUAGAUCUAUGUCACUGUAACACCCAGUACCACUACAAUCACAUUGUAGAUUUCUAGUUUGAGAUCAGCAACCAUAUGGAGGGCAGCUGCCUGAGACAAAAGCAUUUACUGUUCCUCAGUCAAUCUACAAAUGGCAAUAAUUAAAAUAAAAUUCCAAUCCUUAAAAUAUUAAGUCCUUAGUUCUAAACCAACAGGCCUCAGAUUAUAGGAAACACCCAAAUUUCGGGAGGAAAAGCGCCUCUGUCACAUGAAUACAGAUUCCAAUAAAAAUAUUGAAUGUAAGGUCUUUUGAAGAGAAAUUACAAAAACAGACAAUAUUUUAAAAUGGAAGAUAAGCGCAUAGUCUGGGAGUAAUUGUCUAUCCAGAAUUCAAGGGAAGCUUAAUGACUGACUGCUUUAGAAUCAGAAGCUGACUGUGAGCAAACUCACUGGAAAGUACUGCACCAAAUGUACAUUUUAAUGCAAUCAAAUCCUACCCACAAAAAUAUGCAAACUUACAUCCAGCAGUUUGCUACAUUUACAGAUAGAGUUCUUAGGACGCAAGAAAAAAUGGAAAAGAACUGCAGGUGUGACUACUGUAUAAUGGUGUUCAGUAUCUGUUUAAUUGAUGUAUUUACCAGAAAAACUAAAAAAAAGCAGAUACUAUUUCCCUCUAUAAAGUAGCACACGCUAAAGGCAUUUGAUAAAAUGCAUGCUUGGAAUGGAUUUUGUAUUCAGUAAUUUGAACACCUAGAUAGUGCCGGGAACACAUCCCACCAUGCCUGCAAAGACUACCAGUUGUACCACAUAGGCCUGAGCAGUCUUUUUUGGCUGUUUCUUUUUGCGGAGAAACCCCUCCCUCCCUUCUUAAUUGUAUUUCAAAAGCAGCCUAAUAAUUUUUUCCCCACUGUUCUCCCUCCAAGGCUUAGCUUUAGGCAUCCUAAGAAAUGAACAGUCUUUUCCCCCGUUCUAUUUCAGUUUUGACUUUAAGCUGUGUCUUUCCUUAUCUGGAGCCAAUGGCUCUCUGCUUUCCACUUUUAAACAAACAAACAAAACGUCCUUCUCCGUUGUCCUCCUCUUAUCCCUCCACUUUCUUUAAUGACAUCUUCAGUCAUUAAUGAGUUAAUAAAAAUCUCAAAGUCAUCUGGGAAUAGAUAAGGGGAAAGAAAGAGGAGUAUUGUACACAUAAUGACAGGCUCCCUGCUGGCCCUAAGAUGUCAUGGGUCAGCCAUGUUAAGAAUGUGUGUGCCCAAUCAUCUGCUGAUUUUUAUCAGCAAGGCCUCAAGCAGAAUCUGACACGGCCAGUUUGGGAGUUACAAUGAAUAAACAAUGACUUCUUGGAUUGUUGGCGGCUGUAUGAUAGAGUGAGAGGGUUUAUAUAUACUAAAACAUGAUGACAUUAGCAAUCAAUAUACCAAUUACUGGACAAGUUAUUGGACGAAGAAUGCACAUGUCUUGAGCUUUGUGCACUUUGAACAUGCUACCAGUGCUGGAGACCAUAGAAAUAAAGGUGCUUAACCCUUCCCAAGCUAGAUAUGCUAUUUCUUGACAAUGCCUUCAAGUUUGAUUGCAUGGUAAGAAAAACAACAAACAACUGGUCUGAUUUAGCAUACUAAGUCUUCCAGGUAGAAGACAUAAGCUUGACAAAUUUAUUUUUCAUUAGGACUUAAAGAAAGGAAUAGAUUUUUCAAGUGAGCAUUUAGAUGCUAGAACAACAGAUAAUUUAAAUUGUUCCCCAUAAAAUUUCAGAGGAAAUCAAUUUAUUUUCACCCAAACAGCACUAACGUAUCACAAACUUCAUCACUGAGAAGUUAGAACACAUUUUUAUGGGAUCAUUUAGACAAAUAUCUUAACAUGCAUCACUUGGCUAUUCCACAAUAGAGGAAGGAAAGUAAAACUCUUGGAUACUUCUUUUAUUCCUGUGCUACCAGAAAUACAUUUCUGCAUCUGUUCAGUGUCAUCUUCUCAGUCUCUUUACAAAGCUCAAAAUAUUCAGUGUUUACAAGUUUAUCUUCUAUUAUUCUGGAAUUGAUUGUGAAGAUUCAAUGUCAGUGUUAUAAUUGAAACCAGAAUGAAAUGCGGUUAAGUCAGUCACCUCAUUCAAAGCACAAAUGCAGAAGACAACUGAGAAGACAAAGAGGAGGACAGAGCUGCCACAUCUGGGGCUCAGCAGAAGCACUGGACUAAGUGGUGUUACCUCUCCAUUAAGACAGACAAGUACACAAUCCAGUGAAAAGCUCAUGGGCUUUGCCUUGAGAUGAAUCAUUAAAAUUAUGUGGGAAAGAUUAUAAGAUGGUUCUCCUUUUCUGUAUAGCAUUAUGAAUGACAGCUUUUACUGAGAUCUAGGAAACCAAGUUGGGGAAGCAGCGGUGCCAUGCGCAUUUUGACUUCUGCUCAGGUGAGAGCAAACACGACAUAUAUAUAUGAUAACUUUGACUCCUAGGGAAUCAGCCAACAGUAGAAACUGCAAAAAACCAACCAAAACAUACUGUGCAUUUUGUGUAAAUUAGGGGCUGAAUAAAAUCUUCAGGUGCAUCUCCUACAGACCGCUCUUGUGAUUUAAGAGCUAAAGUGUUGCUCUAAAUUACAAUCAUAUCUGCUCUGCUUCUGAGCACUAAGCAUCUCUCAGAGCUGUGCUGGACAGUAAUGGCAGAGGGAUCAGUCCCAGACAUAGGGGAAAAAUAGAUGAAACCACAUCUGGUUUUAACUGCAACAGUUAUGAAAUGCUCAGCUGCAUCCUCUCAAAUGGCUCUUCCCAUUAAGUUCUUGGGAAGUUUGGAAGUGAAUUUGUCCAGCAUGACUGAUAUGAAUAAUAAAAUGCUUUUAAAUGUAAAUGUUUCAUAAAAUAGCACCAUUAUCAUACAUUACAGUGAGUACAGUUGAAAAAACUCAAUCCCUCCUCUGUAAUUUACAAUUAACUUUUUGCCUCAAGGUAACAGCUACAUUCACAAAAAUAAUGGUAAUAGGUUGACCUUGUUAUGAAUGGAUAACAAGCUGGAAACAAUAUAGUUUGUCACAGAGCAUUAACUAUUACUGUUGAAAUUGUAAAUAAUGCGUAUAGAACAUAUAAUGUAAAUGGCUCCCCUUAAAAAUAUUAAUUAUGUCGAUUAAACACUUGAUGCAUAAUGGAUUACUCUGAAAUCUACUUAAGUCCAUGUCAGACUGAAUACACCAUUCCCUAAGAUCCUUUUCUGCUCUCUGACUCCUCAUUGUGGACCUAGUGUUUACAAUGGAAUAUAGCCUUAAAUUAAAGAUACGGCCACUUUUUUUUGUUUGGAUUGCUUGCAUGCUUUUUCACUGAGUACAGCAUCAGAAUAUUAGACUUUCUAGAGACACUAGGCUCUUCUGAGAUGCUUUUAGGCUGCCUUGGAAGCUAACGAAAAGAAACCCUCAUCCAACAGUGCAGUCCACUCACUGAAGGAUCUCUGGGAUUCAGAGCACACCACUGGCUUUUAUGCCGCUUUGUAAUCACUAGUAAUGGGACAGAAGAAUACAGACAAGUUUUUACACCUGGCUAGUUUCCUACACAAAAGUGGUAUAACUCAUCACCCAUAAGGAAGAAAAAGCUUUGAGGGCUGAAGCUACUCAGCUGAUAUGUGCUUAGUGUCCCCUUCAGCGCCAGGGCUGCAGUCAUCUGGGAGGAGAUUGCUAUCACAUGGCUUUAGAGAGCAAUCCAAAAACUGGUACAUAACACAUGGCAUAGAAAAGAUUAGACUUUUCUGCCAGUGCCUGGGGACCACUAAUUCACAAACAGGAGACUAAACCAUAUUUUUGUGCUUUCCAACCACAAUAAGUGCUCCUCAGCUGUGGCUCAACACUGGACUUAACAGCACAAUACUUCACUGUUCUGGCUAAUUACCAUGUAUAGACUGUUGCAUUAUAAAGGAGGGAUUCCCACUAGAUUAUCCACAUAGAGAAAGUGAUAUUAAAAUGACAAGCCACCAAAAGGUCAAAUAACCAGUUGCCAGAAGUUAGAAUAACUAGGCUAUGGAGCAGCAAUAUCUGGGGAGCUGGCAUGUGUCCCAGGACUCGUUGUCAUACAAAUGGAAGAAAAGACAGCUGGAAUCUUUUUGGAUUGACUGUUAUUUUCUCUGAAUGUAGUGUAAAUCUAUCACUUUGGUUUUUCAACCAAACGCCUGAAUGGGGAGUUCAGAAACUGAUUCAGUAAAAUAUAAAGUCUCUUUAUACAUCA